UAAAUUUUGCCACUUUGUUUUCGUCU
rnacentral:piRNA from 1 species